AUUUCUCCUUCAGAAUCACUCAAUGGUUCUCUCCUGACAGACGCAGUCGAAGACGGAAGAUCCAAGAUGUCCGGCCUGAGGUUGUGGCUGACUUUGCUCUUUGCUGCUACUUUUCAACAAGGCCAGGCCGAGACCUUAUCAAAUAAAGGAGUUUUACUGAAGUGCAACAGAUCAGUGGAAGUUGAAGCUGGAGGAACUGUGACACUAACCUGCAAUGUGACUUACGACUUGGAGGACCCUACAGAUUGUGAAGCUAAAAAACUAACCUGUAAUGACGCAAAUAUCAGCAUAUAUGACAUCAAUAGAGUGAAUUACACUCAUGCCAUCAUGUCAGUGAACAUCUCACAAGUCCAGAAAAUGGGGAAUUACACCUUCAAAGUGAUGACAACUUGUGGUGGUGAUGUCUUUACGGUACAAAUGAACCAGCUCAUCA